UUAAAUUCUAUAUACAAUAGGGGACACUAAUUUAUUUCUCUUUAUAUUAAUUACUAGAGUUUAAACAAAAUAUCAAAACUUAUCUAAAAAAGUGGCGAAAUCGUCUUUCUUUUUAGGGCUGAAUCCCUUAGGUAAAAAAAAUUGGAACACUUAGUUCACUGAAGCAAGUCUAAAUUACAAUAUUUCCACUCUCAAUUCAUCAAGGUCAGGCCAAUUGCAAGAACAAUUCUAUUUUCUCAUAGUUAUAUCAGGUGUGUGUUACUCGCUUUUCUGGGAUGUUCGACAAUCGCUUAUUCCAACAUCUAUUCUCAAAUGGUUAACAAAAACGUGAAAUUUUUAUUUGAUUCUUUUUGUAGCGCAGGAUUUAUUCCGUUCCUGUGUUAUAUUUUUAGUCUCACAUUUAUCGAAUUCGUAGAUUUCUCUUGGUUUUGAUUCAAUUUUGACAUCAAUUAACUCAUGGAAUUAGCAAUUUCAAUUUGUAAUCGUUCAAAACAAACACAAUUUUGUUGCCUAACACUGCAGCAAACUGUUCUAUCACCAGGUUCAUUAUUUCCUCUCUUUUUAAUUGCACAUGAUUUACUUUUUUUAACUGAAUAAAGUGUAUGUGCUACUUUGCUUUCCGGGGUACGGCAACUCGCGAUGGAGUCAUUCUAAUGCGGGAGGGGCUUGAUCAAAUGAGCUAAGCUAAUAUCUAGAGAUGAAGGCUAGCAUUGUGACUCUGCUUGCCUUCUAUACGGCUUGUUGCAUAAGCAGCUUCAACGGGAAAAAGUUCAGCAGAUUGUUGAUGAAACUGUGAAAAAUUGAAACUGAAUUUGUGUGUGAUACCCUUCAUGAGCAUUGUUCGACAUGAAUUUGACACUCAUGAGCUAGUACAUUAGGUUUGUUGCUGAUCGUCUAUUAGUUUGUCUUCGUUAAUUUGAAACUUUAUUUUCUUUUAUCCAUUGGGAGAAAAGAAAACAAAAAAACUUCUUACUGGCUUAUGAUUGAAUGAAAUUCAUAUCUUUGCAGCAAAUAAUUAUCCUUUUCUUUAAACUCCUCUUUGUUGAUACAAUACAAUAUGUAUAUCAUAUUAGGUAACUUAGUACUUUAUUAAAUAGUUAUUCCUUAUCAUGCCAUAAGCAUUGGAAUUAGAUUUGCUAUGUAAUUGUCAAUUUAGUUGAAUUGCAUUUGCUAUGUAUCAUUCUUACAAUUUUUAAAACUUAUUUUGUUGUUGUGAUCUAAUGACCAGCAUCAAUAAACACGUCACAGCUACACCAAAAGCUGAAGGCAGCAUCAACAAUAGUGAAAUCUUCUCUGUUAAUUUUUCUGUUUUGUUGCAUUGCAGCAGGUGAAAUCUUCUACCGUUUUUGUAUUUUCAUGGAUGCCUUGAUCAUGUCAUUGUGUUAUAUAGGUUAAUUAGUGCAAGACGUCAACUCAUCUUCAGAACACGGGGGCGUUGAGAGCGGAAACGCGAACCUUUGGAGUUUGGACAUUGUAAAGCUCCUUGACCCUGUCACAGCUCUCUGCCCACCAUCUUUUCCUGAUUUUCUUCACUAAGUUUUCGUGAUCUUUUCGACAAAAAGAUUUCACGAAGAUCUAAGAGCCAUCAGUUGCCGACUGUCAACAAAUUAGAAAAUUCAUAUUAUGUAUAUUUUGAUCAAUGAAUUUCUAUAGUAAAUAGAACUCAAGUGAAAUUCUUAUAAUUAAUAGUUUAGUCUUGGUUUAAUAUGAAUGUACAGUUGUGUAUUCUAACAUUUUGAAUUAUAAUGAAGAUUUUAUUGAUAUAUAGAA